rnacentral:tRNA from 1 species
GCUUGGCUGGCUCAGUUGGUAGAGCACGAGACUCUCAAUCUUAAGGAUGUGAGUUCGAACUCCAUAUUGGGCG